CACACACACACACACAAAUUUAAAAUAUGAUAAAGCCUCUCUGCCAGGUUCCUAAGAAAGCAUCCCAGGGAGCCAAAUGUCCAGGAUGGUCACACUGAAGGCAUCGUCGUCUCAACCCAAAUACAUGGCUGAGUGAGUGCUUUAAGCUCUUAGAGGCCAUGUCUCAUCAGUCAUCUGUGUCACCAAGAUGUACUAGGAGAAGACCUCAGGCAUAUUCCAGAUAGUAACUAUGGAGCGGGUGAUUCUAAUGUGUCCUUGACUUGAAAGAAACACUCAUGACUUUGUCUUCCCACAGCUGAACCUGCAGAUGACUCUCCACGGCCUAGGAGAGCUCCCUUGAGCCCUUUCUAGCCUCUCUAUCCACAGAGUGAAUGUGGACAGAAACGGAGAGGUCCCAUCCUCAGUGUGACCUUGACAUGACCUUCUGGAGUGACUGAAGUUUACUUUUGGUACUCCAGAGACCUAGCUUCUUCUUGCCUUCCUCCAAUGUGGUCUAUUUAAUCUCCUGUCGUGUGGGAAAUUAUGUUCAAAGUCUCCGUGAUCCUCUGUCCAGAGACCUGCCUAUUGAGACCCAGCAGCUGUGGCAAGCAUUUACUACCAACAAGAGGCAGUUCCAAGAGAAGAAUAUAAAACACGCUCUGCUCAACCCCACGAAACUCGGAGUGUCUCACAAUGGCCAAUUUAUUAUUUUUACCCUGUCCAGUGACACGGAAGGAUGCAUCAGGGAGCUGCUAGCCUCUGCGAUGAAUAACUUAAGUCAGGCUGCAACAUGUGAAGUAAUUCAGCUGACCAGGAUUUAUAACGCUAGCUGGAGUUUUCUGCUUUCUUUGGGGUUCAUGAAGCAUGGUGUUGCAAGAGACCACAGGAGUCCUGUGAUGAGGUGUUGUCCCAGAUGGUCUCACCUACCCGAUGCCCCAUGGACUAUGCUGGGCUGGAAUUUCUUCUGCAUGUUAUUUAUGUGUACUUGACCAAACUAGAGAGGCAGGAAUGCAGGUACGAUGUCCAGGUCGGCCCACCCCUUUCCUGCAGGCAGGCUGGAAGGAUUGGAACAGGAUGGCAUGGAGUAAACAUAUCUCAGCAGCUACCUGGAGCAGGUAGACUUUCACGACACUGAGAAGAGUCUAGAUCUUCGCUCUCCCGGUGGGCUAUGGGACACUCACUCAUCUCAAACCUUGGACGCUGUAUUUACAGAGUCCAAGGAUGGAAAUGACCUUAGAAGAUGGCUGGAAUUCCCAUUUUUCAAAGGGGCAAUAAUUUGUGUGUCCUUUUUGUGUGUUGGCACUUCAGAGCAAUGUUAAAAGAAGAAAAAACAAAAACAUAAAACCACUCCCACACGAUUGUGUAGUCAUUCUGAUCCCUAUUUUAACCAGGGAAUUUAAUGAGAGUUCCCCAAUCUGUGGAGAAAGGAGAAAAUGCCCACAGGGUGAGGAUUUGGCCGAUGCCUGUAGGUCUCUGUUGACAAAGCAGCCUUUGAAUCUGUGGUACCUCUGAAUGGAGUCCUACCAUCUUUCAAGGUUAUUGCCUGACUACAGGUUAAAUAUCUUAAUAUUCACUGAUUGGGGGAAAGCACUACGAGCAAAUUGAAUGCAAGGUCCAGGAACACCCAGGUCUUUGGUGACUAUAUAAAAUGUAAAUGCAUUCUUUAUUAUCUCAAGUCACUGCACGCCCAAGUGGCUCUUCUGUAAGAAAAACAUAGCUUGCUGAUAAUGAGCAUGAAAAUUACUAAGGAAUGGGCAGAGUAAAUCUCUCAAAUCUUUUCUGUCUCCGCCCUCCCCCCACCCCCAUUUCGGAACCAUGAUGUGACUUUGCUAAUUUGAGUAUGUGUCCCUGUCUAGAUUUUACAAAUAAACUUAAAGUUUAUCAAAGGAC
rnacentral:lncRNA from 1 species